rnacentral:lncRNA from 1 species
AAAGGGAGUAUAUUUAUAUAAUGAUAUAUCACCCAUUUAAGAGAAGAAACUAGUGGAAAGCGCGCGCCAUCGCGCGCGUAGGUAGCCACAUAGAAGGUAAACACAAUAAGAGCUAUAGAAAAAUAUAUAGCUCUAUGUAUAUAUCACAUACGUUAAUUAACAGUGGAAAAGGUUAAGUUCAGUUUCUCUAAAACGAGAGUGAAUCUUUCGUGUAGAAAGCCAUACUCGUGGCCUCAUGAGGACUUACAAUUGACUAUAUGUAUGCAUAUUUGCAAUAUGUACAUAAAUCCUUCCUUCUAUUCUAUCUGAUGACAUGUUCCUAUUGGCAAGGUGUCGAUUCAAUUUAUACCAGCUAUCCUGCAUAAAGAACAGUUAACGGAUCAAGCCAUCAGAAUGUGAGCGUAGCCUGCAAAAUACCAUAACAACAUGCAAUAGUUCCAAGGGAACACAAAUAAUCUCAGCAGACCAAUGGAACCAUAUAAUGAUUUCUUUUCUCAUGAAUAAAUGCGGCAAGCACAUAAGGAUGAAAAGAAAUUUGAAAGGACCAACUAAAAUAUAGAAAUAACAACAGACCAAAUGAACCUACUAAAACCGUACAUAUUAACAACAGACCAUAGGAACCUUCUCUAAAACAGCACAUAUCACAAGGGGUAAUGGCCUGAGCUAUAAGAACCACACGAAAAGAACAAAACAUGAACUGGUUGUAGCUAUAUGCCUUUUGGUAUGGAUUACCGAACAGAAAUCUAUUAGCAGACUGUCAUGGUCGGGCGCACGUACGUGAGACGGCGCCGCGCCCGUGAUGUGCGUCGCGCCCUGGAGCGCUCAGCUGCCAUGCAGGCAGGCGCGCAGGGGGGUUAGCACCGUAAGUGGCUAGGAAAGGAAUUAGGAGAUUCUGUUCCUUAGAUUGAGGAGUUUGUUACUCUUUUAGUUGGGCCUCUGGCCAUAUAAAUUGUAAUCAGGGACUCAAAGGAAAUCAAUCAAGUAUUAUCCAUCUAUUCUCGUCCUCUAACUCCUAAGCCGGCAACUAGGGGGCAUAACCCAGUUGACGAAGGCGACGACGGCGUGGGGGCAUAACCCAGCCGGCGGCGACGGAUCGCGACUACGAGCUGCGUAGUCGGGGUCCAGCUACCCUGGGCACUACCGCCCUUGACAACCUGGUAUCUAGGUCUCGUCGAUCCUCUCCCACCCGUUCCACGCAAUCCUCCACUGCCGCACCUGCCCAUCACCAACCCACCUCGCCGCAGUCGCCCAUCUCCGCUGCACCAGCGCCCACCAUGGCCGACCCAACCCUGGCUGAUGUCCUGGCGGCCUUGAAGACUCUCUCCGCAGAUGUGGCCACCAUGCAGGCCGACAUGGCUGUGAUGAAGAAGGAAAAGUCUGCGUCGUCCUCCGGCGGCGGCGGCGAGUUCCGCACGGAGGGUCCGCUCCCCGAUCAUCCCCCGAAGCACAAGCGAUGGGAUUUCCCCCGUUUCGACGGGACGACCGAUCCGCUGCUGUUCCUCAACAAGUGCGACGCCUAUUUUCGCCAGCACCGCACGCUGGCAGAAGAGCGCGUAUGGAUGGCAUCCUACCACCUGGAUGACGUCGCACAGCUCUGGUUCACGCAGCUGCAAGACGACGAAGGAACACCGUCCUGGGGGCGCUUCAAAGACCUCCUCGACCUGCGCUUCGGGCCGCCCCUGCGCUCGGCACCGCUGUUUGAGCUGGCUGAAUGCCGGCGCACCGGUACCGUUGAGGAGUACUCCAAUCGGUUCCAAGCCCUUCUUCCCCGCGCCGGUCGCCUGGAGGAAUCCCAACGUGCCGGUGCCUCGCUCGGCGCGGGCGGUGCGGGGUUUCCUCGGCUUGGCGGGGUACUACCGCAAGUUCAUCCACAACUAUGGCGCGAUGGCGGCCCCACUCACCAGCCUGCUCAAGAAGGAGGGUUUCUCCUGGAACGCAGAAGCUGCUGCGGCGUUCGACGACCUCAAGGCCGCGGUGACCACCGCCCCGGUGCUGGCCAUGCCCGACUUCGCCAAGCCGUUCGUGGUGGAGUGUGACGCGUCGUCCCACGGCUUUGGGGCGGUGCUGCUGCAAGAUGGACAUCCGAUCGCAUUCUUCAGUCGGCCGGUGGCGCCGCGACAUCGCGCUCUUGCUGCCUAUGAGCGCGAACUGAUCGGGCUGGUUCAGGCGGUCCGACACUGGCGCCCAUAUCUCUGGGGACGUCGUUUCAGCGUCAAGACGGAUCACUACAGCCUCAAGUACCUGCUGGAUCAACGCCUGGCCACAAUCCCGCAGCACCAUUGGGUUGGCAAGCUACUGGGCUUCGACUUCUCCGUUGAGUACAAGCCCGGCGCCACGAACGCAGUGGCAGACGCGCUGUCCAGACGGGACACGGAGGAUGGGGUGCUGCUCACCCUUUCGGCCCCCCGCUUCGAUUUCGUUGAUCGCCUACGUCAAGCACACCGGGAUGACCCGGCCCUCGUCGCCCUCCACGCCGAGAUCACAGCAGGGACACGCCCGGCGCCGUGGUCCCUCGUCGACGGCCUGGUCCAUUUCGGCAGCCGGCUCUAUAUCCCACCCGCCUCCCCACUGCUCCAAGAGAUCCUGGGGGCGAUUCAUGCCGACGGCCAUGAGGGCGUUCAGCGCACACUGCACCGUCUCCGCCGAGAUUUCCACUUCCCCAACAUGAAGCAACGGGUACAGGACCUGGUGCGCACAUGCGCAGUGUGUCAACAGUACAAGUCUGAGCACCUGCAGCCCGCAGGCCUGCUCCUUCCGCUGCCGGUGCCGCAGGGCGUGUGGACAGACAUCGCGCUGGAUUUUGUGGAAGCCCUCCCCCGCGUCCGCGGGAAGUCGGUCAUCCUCACCGUGGUGGACAGAUUCAGCAAAUAUUGUCAUUUCAUACCCUUGGCACAUCCGUACUCCGCUGAAUCGGUCGCUCAAGCCUUCUUCGCUGACAUUGUCCGUCUCCACGGUGUUCCUCAAUCCAUCGUGUCGGACAGGGACACGGUCUUCACGUCGGCCUUUUGGCAGGAGCUUAUGAGGCUGAUGGGCACGAAACUGCAGAUGACCACGGCGUUCCACCCCCAGUCCGAUGGGCAGUCAGAAUCAGCUAACCGUGUCAUCGUCAUGUACCUACGUUGUUUGACGGGGGACCGGCCUCGCCAGUGGGUAAGAUGGCUGCCGUGGGCGGAGUACCUAUUCAACACGGCAUAUCAGUCGUCCUUGCGGGACACUCCCUUCAGGGUGGUCUAUGGUCGGGAUCCGCCCUCCAUCCGUUCUUAUGAACCAGGCGACACCAGGGUCCAAGCUGUCGCCAAAACUAUGGAGGAACAGGAUGAAUUUUUGGCUGAUGUACGCUACCGGCUGGAGCAGGCUCAAGCUUCGCAGAAGCUGUACUACGACCGCAACCACCGCUCUGUCAGUUACCAGGUCGGGGACUGGGCACUCCUUCGUCUUCGGCAACGGGCAGCGUCCUCGCUUCCUCAGGCUGCGGGCGGCAAGCUCAAGCCCCGCUUCGUCGGGCCUUACCGCGUGGUGCAACUCAUCAAUGAUGUUGCUGUCCGCCUCGCGCUGCCCACAGGCGCUCGCAUCCAUGAUGUUGUUCAUGUGAGCCUCCUCAAGAAGUUCCACGGCGAGCCGCCAGCUGCGACGCCACCGCUUCCUCCACUGCGUCAUGGCGCCAUCGAGCCGGAGCCUGAGCGUGCAGUACGCUACCGUCUUGCCCGUGGCGUCCCCCAGGUGUUAAUCAAGUGGAAGGACUGCUCAGCUGCCUCUUCAACAUGGGAAGACACGGACGCUUUCCGCACCAGGUUCCCCUCCUUCCAGCUCGAGGACGAGCUGACUCUCGACGGAGAGGGAGAUGUCAUGGUCGGGCGCACGUACGUGAGACGGCGCCGCGCCCGUGAUGUGCGUCGCGCCCUGGAGCGCUCAGCUGCCAUGCAGGCAGGCGCGCAGGGGGGUUAGCACCGUAAGUGGCUAGGAAAGGAAUUAGGAGAUUCUGUUCCUUAGAUUGAGGAGUUUGUUACUCUUUUAGUUGGGCCUCUGGCCAUAUAAAUUGUAAUCAGGGACUCAAAGGAAAUCAAUCAAGUAUUAUCCAUCUAUUCUCGUCCUCUAACUCCUAAGCCGGCAACUAGGGGGCAUAACCCAGUUGACGAAGGCGACGACGGCGUGGGGGCAUAACCCAGCCGGCGGCGACGGAUCGCGACUACGAGCUGCGUAGUCGGGGUCCAGCUACCCUGGGCACUACCGCCCUUGACACAGACCUCAAAAAACCAAAAUGUCAGCAAGACCUAGUGAGACAUGGAUUACCGAAUUAGCAAUCUGCUGGUAAGUAUAGCCAAUGCAGUAAUAACUCAUGGCUGAUUUGGAUGGUGCUUUGUUUAUCAUGUCUGACAUAUGAUUAAAUUUUCUUUCACUUUGGUGAAGCGCUAAGCCUUGCUAUAUAGGGAAAGUAUUUUCAUUUUGUACACUACCUUGAGUAAAGAUAUUUUAAAUAGCAGUAACAAUAUAAUAAAAACAUAGUGUGCUGUUAUUGGCCGAAUGUAAAUUGACAAGAAGGUUUUUUUACCUAUAUAUGAGAAUAGAUCGGCAAAAUGUUGGGAGUAUAUGUGCACCUGCAAACAAAGAGGUAAGAAUUAAAUUACCACCUUAGGUCCUGUCAGAAGCUAUUUCUAUUUUGGGUGGGUUUUUAGUUAGUAAUAAAAUUGUAGGGCAGGGAUAAACAUAUGCAGAUCAAAGAAAACAUUAUCUCCAUAUCUGCUAAAGAGCAGAUGGUAUAGGAGGAACCUAGCCAAUCAGUAUUUCUAUAUGCAUGAAAAUUAUGAACAUUUCAGUUGUACUAUUUAACUGGAAGCACAUAUGAGAAGGCAUAUAAGCCGACAAUAGUACACACAAGACUGGAUCUGCUACUUUGUUUAGAUGCACAAUUUAUUGAGGUAGUCAACAUGGUAGCAAAGGUCAAGGCAUUGUAUGUUGGGCAAUGCUAACUGUCAGUGCUUUUUAUACUAAAAUUGCUUGUUGCAUACCUCAGUGAGGACCUGCAACAGGGAAGGCGCAACAUAAUAUUAAAGGGAUUGAACUGGAUGGACAAGAUGGCCAAAUGAAUUAGGAGUCAUCUAACCUUUGCCAUGCAAUAUCACAAGCACAUGACGUGGUAGAGUAUAAGCCAAAUGAAGCAAAAUAUUAUCAACAAACAGUAGGUCCUACCAAAACAAAUAAAAAGAGAUGAACAUGGAAAUCCAGCAAAGGAAAGUACGGUAGGAGAAAAAAUAAUAAAUUAAUACCACAGGAACAAUUUCCUGCACAAGCGUAAAGGUACAUUUUAAAUCUCAAAAGGAAAAAAGAAGCAACUUACAUUUUUUUAUAGUGUCCAUGAUUAACCAAUAAGCUUCAUCUUCCUGAAGUUACACACAGACACAAAUUGCUUAGUGCAAAGCAAAAUCCCAUGUUACACUGAAUGGCAACAAAAAUGGCACAAGGCAGAGCUGCUUUGAUUCUUGAAAACCCUAUGUGUAGCAGUAUCAAUAAUCAAAUAGCAUCACCUUGAAAGAUUAAUCGGAGCACCACGAACAUAUAGAUUUUCUAAAAGCCAGAGAACUCUAUCAAAGCAGGUCUGCCUUGUGUCUUCUUUUUGUGAAAGCAGUUCUGCAUUCAGAAAUAGAACCAAUCUAUUUUCUAAAAUCAAAAUAGAAUUUGACCAGUUUUGCAUCAACUAAAGGUAAUGUUCCAUUGGUGGCCUAGCAGGCUAGCACUGAAAAACUAAAAAUAUUGCUAUCACAAAGGUAGUGUUCCAUUGUUGGCAUAGCACAGGAAACUCGAAAUAUUGCUAUCACAAGAAGAUUGCACCAUAUCCAAAAUAGAAAUUAAUUGGUGAUAAGUAACAUGCUAAAAAUAUAGCUUCCAUGUUUUUGUCCAAUCGAACUUCAUAAUAGGCAGACUUUAUUUGGCUCAUCUGAUAUAAACUAAAAUGGAAGUUCCACCGCAUGUAGCAAGAAUUUGAUUGUCUAAUCUAACCCUACAAAAAUGUAAAAGUAGUUGAGUAUAUGGAAGUAUUACUAAAGAACACAUUUAAAAGAGAGGUCUCGAGGCGAAGGAAAGUCCUAGAUUCCAUUUUUAUAAACAUGAUAUUACUUUGGAUGUGCAAAUACAAAUAAACCUAUGUAGGUUUUUCAUAUAGCCUAAAACAGUUUUCAUAGUUUGAAAGGCAUUGUUAAAUUAGGCACUAUUGUACUCUUCCUAGGUUUUGGUUGUUUACUGCUAGGUAUAGCGCAUCCGGUUUGAUUUUGCAAGCCUUUCAGACAUGGGAAGGGUCUGUAAUGCAAAUAGUCUCUCCAUGAUGAUAGUAGUAGUUGUGAUGAUGAACAUGACACUCCAUCCAUCUCAAAAUAUGUAGUGGUCUUUCUUUUAGGAUAUACUAGUGUUUAAUAAAAGGUACUUGUGUAUCAUUUUUAUAAGGUAGGAGGAAAUUCUAUUUGGCAUGCUCCAGCCUAUACAUAUAAUUUUUGUUUCAUGUGAUUUACCUCUAGAAGAUUGAAUCCCAUGAUGCUAGCCAAAUUGGAAGCAGACACUGGGAGCCCUUGCCGUACCUAAUCAUAAGCCUUUCUAUCAAAAGAAGCAGCAACACCAAGAAUAGCUAAUUGUUGCUAGUCGUAAUGAAAAAUACAAUUGAGUUCCUAACAAUCUAAUAAUAGACAUAAAAGCAAAGUCAAUGCAGGUAUCAAGGAAAGUUCCCAGCUAGAACUAUCAAGUUUCGAACAUUAUUAAUAGCCAUAAUUAGUCGAGUAGGGAAUAAAGAAGCACAAUAGCUUAAAUUAGCUCAUAUCGGCCUUUCCCUAAGCCAAAUGCACCUAAAUGUUUAUGAAGAAAGCACUGAAUUAGAGUAAUCAAGGAUGAUCAAUUCUGGGCAUUGCAACGAUCAUCUCAAAUAAAGUAAUAUACUUACCUAUAUAUCCUAGAGUUAAUGGCAGAACACUAUACGUAAUAGAUAGAGAGUUGGGGAUGGAGAUUAGGGGCAAGCACCUGUUUUUUCGGACGAAUAGAAUCAAUCAUUGAAACUCCAGUGUAGAUUAGAAGAGGGGUCAGGUCACGGUUGCAUCGCGGGUGUCAAGCACAGGGAGUUAGGGUUUCGUGGAGCUCACCGAAACGGCGGGAGCGGCCAGCGCCAUGGGGCAGGCACGCCGGCGGCCAGGGAAUGGCGGCCGCUGAGGCAUACGCGCGCCACCGUGCACCAAAUCGGCGAUGCAGUCGCCCGGGCAGGGCACCGCGCAGUGAGUAGGCGGCGCCGAGGCUCGGCAGGCACACUGCGAUGCCGAGAGAGAGGGAGAGGGAGAGGGAGGAGGAGAAGGAGAGUGGAAGGGAGCGGCGUCACCGUGCCCCGCUCGCGGCCGUCGCCGUCACUGUUGUCCGCGUCGGGAGGAAGAGCGAGAGCGAGAGGGAGAGGGAGACCGAGCGAGGGAGGAGAAGGGUCAAGACGCAGAAGGCUCGGGAAGGUGGAGCCGAAGCUGUUGUAUAUAUUUGCUUUUCGG